GUGSUUGCACCARAUUGACGAGACMUUGAARUGAGUGGCGAACGGGUGAGUAACACGUGGGUAACCUGSCCUAAAGUGGGGGAUAACAUUUGGAAACAGAUGCUAAUACCGCAUAACAACSAAAACCACAUGGUUUUCGCUUGAAAGAUGGUUUCSGCUAUCACUUUAGGAUGGACCCGCGGUGCAUUARCUAGUUGGUAAGGUAACGGCUUACCAAGGCAAUGAUGCAUAGCCGARCUGAGAGGCUGAUCGGCCACAUUGGGACUGARACACGGCCCAGACUCCUACGGGAGGCAGCAGUAGGGAAUCUUCCACAAUGGGCGCAAGCCUGAUGGARCAACGCCGCGUGAGUGAAGAAGGGUUUCGGCUCSUAAAACUCUGUUGUUAAAGAAGAACGUAUCUGAGAGUAACU
rnacentral:rRNA from 1 species